rnacentral:rRNA from 1 species
AUCUAAGUACCCCGAGGAAAAGAAAUCAACCGAGAUUCCCCCAGUAGCGGCGAGCGAACGGGGAGGAGCCCAGAGCCUGAAUCAGCAUGUGUGUUAGUGGAAGCGUCUGGAAAGGCGCGCGAUACAGGGUGACAGCCCCGUACACAAAAGCGCAUGUGCUGUGAGCUCGAUGAGUAGGGCGGGACACGUGGUAUCCUGUCUGAAUAUGGGGGGACCAUCCUCCAAGGCUAAAUACUCCUGACUGACCGAUAGUGAACCAGUACCGUGAGGGAAAGGCGAAAAGAACCCCGGCGAGGGGAGUGAAAAAGAACCUGAAACCGUGUACGUACAAGCAGUGGGAGCACAGGUUUACCUGUGUGACUGCGUACCUUUUGUAUAAUGGGUCAGCGACUUAUAUUCUGUAGCAAGGUUAACCGUAUAGGGGAGCCGGAGGGAAACCGAGUCUUAACCGGGCGUUAAGUUGCAGGGUAUAGACCCGAAACCCGGUGAUCUAGCCAUGGGCAGGUUGAAGGUUGGGUAACACUAACUGGAGGACCGAACCGACUAAUGUUGAAAAAUUAGCGGAUGACCUGUGGCUGGGGGUGAAAGGCCAAUCAAACCGGGAGAUAGCUGGUUCUCCCCGAAAGCUAUUUAGGUAGCGCCUCGUGAAUUCAUCUCCGGGGGUAGAGCACUGUUUCGGCUAGGGGGCCAUCCCGGCUUACCAACCCGAUGCAAACUGCGAAUACCGGAGAAUGUUAUCACGGGAGACACACGGCGGGUGCUAACGUCCGUCGUGAAGAGGGAAACAACCCAGACCGCCAGCUAAGGUCCCAAAGUCAUGGUUAAGUGGGAAACGAUGUGGGAAGGCCCAGACAGCCAGGAUGUUGGCUUAGAAGCAGCCAUCAUUUAAAGAAAGCGUAAUAGCUCACUGGUCGAGUCGGCCUGCGCGGAAGAUGUAACGGGGCUAAACCAU